GGGUUGUGAGGUUAAGCGACUAAGCGUACACGGUGGAUGCCCUGGCAGUCAGAGGCGAUGAAGGACGUGCUAAUCUGCGAUAAGCGUCGGUAAGGUGAUAUGAACCGUUAUAACCGGCGAUUUCCGAAUGGGGAAACCCAGUGUGUUUCGACACACUAUCAUUAACUGAAUCCAUAGGUUAAUGAGGCGAACCGGGGGAACUGAAACAUCUAAGUACCCCGAGGAAAAGAAAUCAACCGAGAUUCCCCCAGUAGCGGCGAGCGAACGGGGAGGAGCCCAGAGCCUGAAUCAGUGUGUGUGUUAGUGGAAGCGUCUGGAAAGGCGCGCGAUACAGGGUGACAGCCCCGUACACAAAAAUGCACAUGCUGUGAGCUCGAUGAGUAGGGCGGGACACGUGGUAUCCUGUCUGAAUAUGGGGGGACCAUCCUCCAAGGCUAAAUACUCCUGACUGACCGAUAGUGAACCAGUACCGUGAGGGAAAGGCGAAAAGAACCCCGGCGAGGGGAGUGAAAAAGAACCUGAAACCGUGUACGUACAAGCAGUGGGAGCACAGAGCAAUCUGUGUGACUGCGUACCUUUUGUAUAAUGGGUCAGCGACUUAUAUUCUGUAGCAAGGUUAACCGAAUAGGGGAGCCGAAGGGAAACCGAGUCUUAACUGGGCGUUAAGUUGCAGGGUAUAGACCCGAAACCCGGUGAUCUAGCCAUGGGCAGGUUGAAGGUUGGGUAACACUAACUGGAGGACCGAACCGACUAAUGUUGAAAAAUUAGCGGAUGACUUGUGGCUGGGGGUGAAAGGCCAAUCAAACCGGGAGAUAGCUGGUUCUCCCCGAAAGCUAUUUAGGUAGCGCCUCGUGAAUUCAUCUCCGGGGGUAGAGCACUGUUUCGGCAAGGGGGUCAUCCCGACUUACCAACCCGAUGCAAACUGCGAAUACCGGAGAAUGUUAUCACGGGAGACACACGGCGGGUGCUAACGUCCGUCGUGAAGAGGGAAACAACCCAGACCGCCAGCUAAGGUCCCAAAGUCAUGGUUAAGUGGGAAACGAUGUGGGAAGGCCCAGACAGCCAGGAUGUUGGCUUAGAAGCAGCCAUCAUUUAAAGAAAGCGUAAUAGCUCACUGGUCGAGUCGGCCUGCGCGGAAGAUGUAACGGGGCUAAACCAUGCACCGAAGCUGCGGCAGCGACGCUGAUGCGUUGUUGGGUAGGGGAGCGUUCUGUAAGCCUGUGAAGGUGU
rnacentral:rRNA from 1 species